UACGUAGGGUGCAAGCGUUAAUCGGAAUUACUGGGCGUAAAGCGUGCGCAGGCGGCUUUGCAAGACAGAUGUGAAAUCCCCGGGCUUAACCUGGGAACUGCAUUUGUGACUGCAUGGCUAGAGUGCGGCAGAGGGGGAUGGAAUUUCACGUGUAGCAGUGAAAUGCGUAGAGAUGUGGAGGAACACCGAUGGCGAAGGCAGCCCCCUGGGCCGACACUGACGCUCAGGCACGAAAGCGUGGGGAGCAAACAGG
rnacentral:rRNA from 1 species